rnacentral:rRNA from 1 species
CGAAGGGGGCAAGCGCUGUUCGGAUUUACUGGGCGUAAAGGGCGCGCAGGCGGCUCGCCAAGUCAGAUGUGAAAGCCCCGGGCUCAACCUGGGAACUGCAUUUGAGACUGGCGAGCUCGAGUUCGGGAGAGGAUGGCGGAAUUCCCAGUGUAGAGGUGAAAUUCGUAGAUAUUGGGAAGAACACCGGUGGCGAAGGCGGCCAUCUGGACCGAGACUGACGCUGAGGCGCGAAAGCGUGGGGAGCAAACAGGAUUAGAUACCCUGGUAGUCCACGCCGUAAACGAUGUGUGCUAGACGUCGGGAAGCCUAGCUUUCCGGUGUCGCAGCCAACGCUUUAAGCACACCGCCUGGGGAGUACGGCCGCAAGGUUA